CGCAAGUGACGGUAGGAGCAGAGAAGGACCGGCCAACUACGUGCCAGCAGCCGCGGUGAUACGUAGGGUCCGAGCGUUGUCCGGAAUUAUUGGGGCGUAAAGGGCUUGUAGGCGGUUUGUCACGUCGGAAAGUGAAAACUCAGGGCUCAACCCUGAGCCUGCUUCCGAUACGGGCAAACUAGAGGAAUGCAGGGGAGAAUGGAAUUCCUGGUGGAGCGGUGGAAUGCGCAGAUAUCAGGAGGAACACCAGUGGCGAAGGCGGUUCUCUGGGCAUUUCCUGACGCUGAGAAGCGAAAGCGUGGGGAGCAAACAGGCUUAGAUACCCUGGUAGUCCACGCCGUAAACGGUGGGCACUAGGUGUGGGACUCAUUCCACGAGUUCCGUGCCGUAGCUAACGCAUUAAGUGCCCCGCCUGGGGAGUACGGCCGCAAGGCUAAAACUCAAAGGAAUUGACGGGGGCCCGCACAAGCGGCGGAGCAUGCGGAUUAAUUCGAUGCAA
rnacentral:rRNA from 1 species